AUGGAGAAGUCUCGUGCCAUCUGCAGGCUCCCUCCAGGGUUUCCAAAGAGAAAACAGAGAAAGAAGAAGAGAACCUGAAGAGCCAUCAGGCCUUGAGCUCUCCUGUCCCUCUCUGAUCUUCUCAAGUGCAGAGGCCCCCUCUUUCGUUGCGGACUGAUCAGUCCAACCAGCACAACUGUGGAGGAGGAAGAGUUGAUCCAGGGCUCCUGAUUUCAGAGUUCUCAAUCCUCAGAAGGCCAGCGCCAUUCCUCAGGGCUCCAGGUGAGGCAGAACAUCAUGGGGGAAGAGAGCGGCAGAGGGAAGCAGCUCACACCAUGGUGACCAGGAAGCAGAGAGAGGCUCCCCUCUUCAGAUACAGAAUAUGCACCCCAGAUCCACGCCCCAAUGACUCACCUCCUCCAGCCACACCCCACCUGCCUCUGGCCACCACCCAGUUAAUCCCAUCAGGGACUAGUUCACUGAUUAGGUUAGGGCUGUGGCCCAAUCAUUUGUCCUUCAAAUGAGCUUUUUGGGGAUGGGGAGGCACCUCAUAUCCAAACCAUAACGGCAUAUGUAGAUAUAUAUGGAGCAAGCCAGAGAGAGAGACGAGGUAUCUCUACAUAUAAAUUCAAUGAAUCAUCAAACUGACCCUCUAAGAUAGGCAUCACUACUGUCUCCCUUUUAGAGAUGGAAAGUCGAGGCAGAGGCGGAGCUAGAGCCCAGGCAAUCCCCUCCUGUUCACGUCCACUAACUGACCUUCAUUCCUAAGCUUUUCAUUAUGAACUUCCUUCACUACUCACCAGAUUAUUCAGAUUAUUUUCAAGAUUCCAGUUCUGAAAUGCAAGGUGUUGAACACCUAUAAUCCCAGGGGCUCAGUAGG